rnacentral:rRNA from 1 species
UCUUUUCCUUGUGUGCCAGCAGCCGCGGUAAAACGUAGGUCACAAGCGUUGUCCGGAAUUACUGGGUGUAAAGGGAGCGCAGGCGGGAAGACAAGUUGGAAGUGAAAUCCAUGGGCUCAACCCAUGAACUGCUUUCAAAACUGUUUUUCUUGAGUAGUGCAGAGGUAGGCGGAAUUCCCGGUGUAGCGGUGGAAUGCGUAGAUAUCGGGAGGAACACCAGUGGCGAAGGCGGCCUACUGGGCACCAACUGACGCUGAGGCUCGAAAGUGUGGGUAGCAAACAGG